ensembl:lncRNA
CUGGAGUGGGUUGCCAUUUCCUUCUCCAAUGCAUGAAAGUGAAAAGUGAACGUGAAGUCGCUCAGGUUGUCUACUUGAAAGUUAUACUGUCGUGUCCGACUCCUAGCGACCCCAUGGACUGUAGUCUACCAGACUCCCCUGUCCAUGGGAUUUUCCAGACAAGAGUACUGGAGUGGGGUGCCAUUGCCUUAAGUUUAGAACAGUUUGUUAAAAUGUUAAGUGAAAAAGCUACACACCAGGUUUUAUAUGUGGAAUGAGUCUAAAGAAAACAUACGAAUAAACAAGAAGUGCUAGAAAAAUUCAGGCAAGCGAGGCAAUUCAUGUUAAUGACGCUUGCUUUCUUCUUUCCUGUGUGGGGUGCCGCACCUAGACCAGCUGACCUCAGGCGGCGGGUCAGCUCCCGGCCCCGCCCACCUCUGCACAUGCGCAUGGAGGCCCUCUACGGCCACGCCACUGCUGCUGACCCAUGCUCCUGCUGCUGCUCUGAUGGAAUGGAGUGCGGACGCAUGUGUUUCUGUCGCUGUGAAUUUUAAUGAGGUUACACUGACUUAGACCCUUAAGAGUUUCUGGGCUGGGCCUGGCCUAGCAAUGGCUCUGCACAAUUUAGUGAGUCGUAAGGAGUGCUGUCACUGUUCUCUGGGUGCUGGGCCCCAGGAGUCACAGAAGGGCUCCAUCAGCACACAGAAUGCAGAAGCGUGCGGCUAUUUAGAGCUCUCCCUGGCUCUCACCUGAUCUUCAAUGAUACGGGAAGAUUAAGUACCAGGAUCGGAAAAGAUAUGGGAGAGAACUGGUUGGAGCACACUCGAGUUCAGUAGAUGUGGAAACACGUGCCCUCAGUCAUCGCUCAAGCUGAUCAUGGGUGGCCUUGGCCUGUCGUGACUUGAAGUGGGAUUUUGGUUUCCCGCCACAGAUGAAGUCAGGCCGCAUGAGAGAGAGCACUGAAUCCGAGCUGAAUGUGACCUUUCAGCUUUGCAGAAAAGCAUUUUCACAAAGAUGGAAAGUAGUAAAACAAGUAAAGUGUUAUGAGGAGGAAAAGGGUACAUGUGGAUAGAUGCAUGGGUGGGCUCAGAGAGAGGGUCGCCUCCUCAUGGUUUGAGUCACUUUUAUGGGGCCUCUUUUCCUGGGUUUUUUUGAUCAGUCAUCUUGCUUUGCCUGGUUCAGAGUCCGUAUUGGUUCAUCUCAGGGUCCUCUAGUGUGUGCCUGAAAUCUCGUAGCCAGGAUGGAAUCUAGUAAGACGUCUAUGGGUAGAUUGAUGUCAUUCCCUUUUCGACCUCCAAGGAACCUCUUCACACAUGUGUAGUUGGGAAGGUCUCCUUGACCUUGAGAAUGAGAAAUAUGUGGCUCUUAUCUGGGCAGGGCUUAGCUCCUCCUCUUCAUCGCGGAGUAUCAGUCCACAGAGGACAGUCUCCAGCUCUUCAGCCUGGGACCUAUCUAUCUCCUGCCUCAAAACCACAGUUCAGUUCAGUUCAGUUCAGUCACUCAGUCGUGUCCAACUCUUUGCAACCCCAUGAACCGCAGCACACCAGGCCUCCCUGUCUAUCACCAACUCCCAGAGUUUACCC